UGGGGAAUAUUGCACAAUGGGCGCAAGCCUGAUGCAGCCAUGCCGCGUGUGUGAAGAAGGCCUUGGUUGUAAAGCACUUUCAGCGGGGAGGAAGGCGUUAAGGUUAAUAACCUUGUCGAUUGACGUUACCCGCAGAAGAAGCACCGGCUAACUCCGUGCCAG
rnacentral:rRNA from 1 species